AAAUCAACAGCCUUACAUACAUCUUGAUGGCACAUGCGCAGUGCUCUCUUUGCUUCUCUUUCUUUAAAGCCCAUAUCCAUAACAUGUGACAACGCUUCAUCUGACACUUGUAGCUGUAAAUAUUUUGCUUGCGCUGAGUUGAUUGCUUCCCGAGCCUUAUCAAACUUACAGCUGUGAAAUGCAGCCACCCCCUCAAGCAGCUCCAGCCUCAAAU
rnacentral:misc_RNA from 1 species